UUAGAUUCUUCGGAUGAAGAGGAUUGUGACUGAGCGGCGGACGGGUGAGUAACGCGUGGGUAACCUGCCUCAUACAGGGGGAUAACAGUUAGAAAUGACUGCUAAUACCGCAUAAGACCACAGCACCGCAUGGUGCAGGGGUAAAAACUCCGGUGGUAUGAGAUGGACCCGCGUCUGAUUAGCUAGUUGGUAAGGUAACGGCUUACCAAGGCGACGAUCAGUAGCCGACCUGAGAGGGUGACCGGCCACAUUGGGACUGAGACACGGCCCAAACUCCUACGGGAGGCAGCAGUGGGGAAUAUUGCACAAUGGGGGAAACCCUGAUGCAGCGACGCCGCGUGAGUGAAGAAGUAUUUCGGUAUGUAAAGCUCUAUCAGCAGGGAAGAAAAUGACGGUACCUGACUAAGAAGCACCGGCUAAAUACGUGCCAGCAGCCGCGGUAAUACGUAUGGUGCAAGCGUUAUCCGGAUUUACUGGGUGUAAAGGGAGCGUAGACGGAUGGGCAAGUCUGAUGUGAAAACCCGGGGCUCAACCCCGGGACUGCAUUGGAAACUGUUCAUCUAGAGUGCUGGAGAGGUAAGUGGAAUUCCUAGUGUAGCGGUGAAAUGCGUAGACAUUAGGAGGAACACCAGUGGCGAAGGCGGCUUACUGGACUGAAACUGAC
rnacentral:rRNA from 1 species